rnacentral:rRNA from 1 species
UACGUAGGGUGCAAGCGUUAAUCGGAAUUACUGGGCGUAAAGCGUGCGCAGGCGGUUUUGUAAGUCUGAUGUGAAAUCCCCGGGCUCAACCUGGGAAUUGCAUUGGAGACUGCAAGGCUAGAAUCUGGCAGAGGGGGGUAGAAUUCCACGUGUAGCAGUGAAAUGCGUAGAGAUGUGGAGGAACACCGAUGGCGAAGGCAAUCCACUGGGCCUGCACUGACGCUCAUGCACGAAAGCGUGGGGAGCAAACAGG